GAUCAGCGACUUUACGAAACCCUCUUUCUUUCUUCCCGUCUUUGUGCUCUCGUCGCCAGUCUGAAGAAAUGCCGGAAUUGCAACGCUUAUGCGCUCCAAUGGUUUUGCGUUUACCAUAGGAUCGAAGAAAAAAAAAACACAGAAAUAACGGGAAGGGGUAAAGUAGAUGGGCGACGAAAAAGCUUCAACUGUUAUGGGGAACAGAGAGAGAGAUCGGGAGCUACUUAUCCCCGUCGCCGGCGAUCCCGCCGCCGAAGCUGAUUCUAAGGCAUCCUCGCCUGUAUCUACUUCUACCAUGCAAAACAAUCGCCAUCAUCACUCCGGCAGAGAUGUUACAGUGGUUCGAUCUGAGAUCUUAUGGUUGCAGUAAUUACUACCAUGGGUGAUUGAUCGGUUUGUUUUUGGGUUUACUGCCGCUUUGGCCGGAAAACGAGCUUUUCUUGCGCCUAUAGUGCCGCCUCGUUUUUGUUUGCCUUUUUUUUUUUCUAGUUGUGUUCAAAGAUUUAGCUUUGGGUUUCAAUUUCCAUCUUUUUCCCUUCUUAUUAGAAGUUUGCCCGGAUUAGUUUUCUGUAUUAGGGCAUGGUUCUUUGGGAGCGAUAGUGGCCGAAUGAAUAUGUAAAAUAGUUAUAGCUUUAGGGGUGUUAGCUAACUGGAACUUGUUCGUUUAUGGCGCAGUUGUCUUAAUUUACUUGUAUAUUUAGAAGUAUGAACCAUGUUGUAGAAGCUUGAUAUGGAAAUGAAUAUACUUGCUCAUUGUUUAACUA